rnacentral:rRNA from 1 species
UACGGAGGGGGCUAGCGUCGUUCGGAAUUACUGGGCGUAAAGCGCACGUAGGCGGCUUUGUAAGUUAGAGGUGAAAGCCCAGGGCUUAACCCUGGAAUUGCCUUUAAGACUGCAUCGCUAGAAUCGUGGAGAGGUAAGUGGAAUUCCGAGUGUAGAGGUGAAAUUCGUAGAUAUUCGGAAGAACACCAGUGGCGAAGGCGACUUACUGGACACGUAUUGACGCUGAGGUGCGAAAGCGUGGGGAGCAAACAGG